rnacentral:rRNA from 1 species
GCGCACCAGUCGCGAAUACUUUACAAUGUGCGAAAGCACGAUAAGGGAACUCUGAGUGCCCUCCUAAGGAGGCUGUUCAGGUGUACUAAAAAGCACCUGAAGGAAGGGCUGGGUAAGACCGGUGCCAGCCGCCGCGGUAACACCGGCAGCCCAAGUGGUAGCCACGUUUAUUGGGUCUAAAGCGUCCGUAGCCGGCUGGGUAAGUUCCUUGGGAAAUUUGGCUGCUUAACAGUCAAGCUUUCAGGGAAUACUGCCCGGCUUGGGACCGGGAGAGGUCAGAGGUACUCCGAGGGGUAGGGGUGAAAUCC